UACGUAGGGGGCAAGCGUUGUCCGGAUUUAUUGGGCGUAAAGAGCGUGUAGGCGGUCUGGUAGGUCCGUUGUGAAAACUCGAGGCUCAACCUCGAGACGCCGAUGGAAACCAUCAGACUAGAGUCCGGAAGAGGAGAGUGGAAUUCCUGGUGUAGCGGUGAAAUGCGCAGAUAUCAGGAAGAACACCCGUGGCUAAGGCGGCUCUCUAGUACGGUACUGACGCUGAGACGCGAAAGCGUGGGAGCGA
rnacentral:rRNA from 1 species